GAUGAACGCUAGCUACAGGUCUUAACACAUGCAAGUCGAGGGGCAUCAGGAAGAAAGCUUGCUUUCUUUGCUGGCGACCGGCGCACGGGUGAGUAACACGUAUCCAACCUGCCCUUUACUCGGGGAUAGCCUUUCGAAAGAAAGAUUAAUACCCGAUGGCAUAAUGAUUCCGCAUGGUUUCAUUAUUAAAGGAUUCCGGUAAAGGAUGGGGAUGCGUUCCAUUAGGUUGUUGGUGAGGUAACGGCUAACCAAGCCUUCGAUGGAUAGGGGUUCUGAGAGGAAGGUCCCCCACAUUGGAACUGAGACACGGUCCAAACUCCUACGGGAGGCAGCAGUGAGGAAUAUUGGUCAAUGGGCGCUAGCCUGAACCAGCCAAGUAGCGUGAAGGAUGAAGGCUCUAUGGGUCGUAAACUUCUUUUAUAUAAGAAUAAAGUGCAGUAUGUAUACUGUUUUGUAUGUAUUAUAUGAAUAAGGAUCGGCUAACUCCGUGCCAGCAGCCGCGGUAAUACGGAGGAUCCGAGCGUUAUCCGGAUUUAUUGGGUUUAAAGGGAGCGUAGAUGGAUGUUUAAGUCAGUUGUGAAAGUUUGCGGCUCAACCGUAAAAUUGCAGUUGAUACUGGAUAUCUUGAGUACAGUAGAGGUGGGCGGAAUUCCCGGUGUAGCGGUGGAAUGCGUAGAUAUCGGGAGGAACACCAGUGGCGAAGGCGGCCUACUGGGCACCAACUGACGCUGAGGCUCGAAAGUGUGGGUAGCAAACAGG
rnacentral:rRNA from 1 species